rnacentral:misc_RNA from 1 species
GAGUAUUUGAAUUUGAACCCUGUGGGGGUUCAAACAAAUCUGACUUUGUGGUAACAAUGAAAAAAAUAGGAUUGGGUUUAAAGAUGAUGCCUUUUAAAGAAAUUUAGAGGUAUCGACCCAAGCUUUUUAUCAACUCUUUUUUUUUUACUAUUUGACUGAAUUUAUCAAGUAAUCCAAUUUUUUGGGUUAAAAAAAGUUUUAAA